AUCCGAUUCAAAGAGUCUUAUUUUACUGUGUCCAUGUAAUGGAAAGAAAUUGAACACCUGACUGCCUCCAACUGAGAUUGGAAUCUGCUAUUUCUCAAUAUUUCAGUGAUGAUCUGCUAAUUAAAAAUGCUUAUCAAUUGUUUCAGUAUUUGUUUUUAUAUUUUUUUUUUCCAGUAACAUUGGGUCAACAUUUAACAUUGGGUCUUUAUUUCUGACUUGCUCUGUAAGAUGAGAAAGACAAAUGAUUUUGGUACGGGGUAAGCUUAUAUGAAAAGAAAAUUUAAGCAUUUUAGAAACAUGUUAAUUGACUGCAUGUUGUGUGAAAACGACAUGAAUUGUGUUAAUGGUAUGGUCACAACAGACGGAUGUUCUGCUAAAUGUGUUUAGAGUUUUGAAAAUGUGACUACAGAUUGAACAAAAGUAUGUUAGCAAUUGAAAAAAAACUGUAAACUGCCUUAUUUUGUGGUUAAAUUUUAUACUUAUAAAGAUUGUUAUUGCAUGAUAAUUGUUUUGGUUUUGUGAUUGUAAAGGCUUACUUAAAUAAUUACUCAUGAAAGAUUAUUUUGUAUUUUGUUCCAGAACCACAACUUUGUCUUCAGUAAAGGCUUUAAUGAGAUUCUGUAGUCUGGGGUGAAUUCUUCAAAUUAGAAAUCAUAUAGUUCUGACCGACUGUCUGCAGGGGUUUGAAUUCACCUAUAUCAAUACUAAAAUUUAAAACCUCAGUCACAAUUAUUAUUAUUAUUAUUUUAUUUUUUUGUUAAAGGUUUGGCAUAUUGCAUAAAUUGUGUUUGACUGAAAAGCUUAUUUUGAAAUAUUCUACAUUCUACGAAUGAUAAAACUGCUAGACGGUAAGAUUUGUGAAGGAGCGCCACUGGUAGGAGCGUUUGAGUUAUAUAGUGGUUUUCAAUUUGCAUAACACUGACUGUAAAAUAUGUAUUUUAGGUAUGGGAAUUGCAUAUUUUGAGUUUUGAUAUUUGGUAUAUGGUCAUUUGGUCUACUUUUUGGGCUAGUUUUGACUGGUCAUUGUGCUAGUUUAGUUACGCAGACCGGGCAACCCUGAAAUCCAGUAUCAUGGUCUGGCCAAUCCUAUUCCAAACAUCAAUGAUCUGACCUGAUAUUUCGCUCAAAGUGAUCAGAUUCUAACAUUAUUUCUCCUGUGUUUUCAGGCUCUUCUCUGAUCAUCCCUCUGGUUCUGUUUUUUCUGGUUCUGAUCACAGCUGGACUCUUAUUACUGUUUUUCUGUAAGAAGCGUCAGUCUCAAGGUGGUGAUUCGUCAUCUCAGACUGGACCAGGAAAACAUGAAGUGGUUUCUCACACUGGUUGUGAUUAUGAGGAGAUUAAAGAUGCUCACACACAAUUACCCACAAACCCCUCUGAUUCUAACUGCGUUUACACUACAGUUCAGAAAGCCACUGGUGACUCUCAGUGCUGCAUCACAUCUGCUGAGGAUCUGAAUUAUGCUGUGGUGAAUUUCCACAAGAAAUCUGACUGUCCUGACAGUGUCAGUAGCAGGAAUAAUCAGGAUUACAGUGAAUACGCUGCUGUCAAUCAUCUCACUGCUUGACCAACAACAGCAGAGAAUAUAAAUGAGCUGAAUGUUUUAUCACCUUGUCUUUAGCAUUAAGUUUGCAUGUUUGGUGUUUUUUGUAAGUCUUCAGUGAUGCUCCUUUUCCUUAUAUUUUAGUCAGUUUUGUGAAUCAGACUUUUGACUGUUGGAAUGAAGUCUGUAAUAUGCAUGAAUUAUGGAAAGCUGAAAUGCACAUAAAAGCACAAUGUCUGAGCUUUAUGAGUGUCUGUUGUGAAGCCUGAGGUCUUUUUAGCUUUUGCUCAAAAAAUGUUUAUUCCAGAAAAUUCACUCCCCACUGAUGUAAUUGUAAUGUAACAGAGACUCGUUCGAGCUCAGGUUGAGAUCCAUAUGUGGCAGAAUAAGUGAUUUAUCUUAUUGGGCUGUUUGGGGUUUGGUUUUGAGCAGACCAAUGAGGUAGAAGCGGCCGUACCAUUUAAAGACCCUUACUUUGGUGAGUGUGUAUGUAUACUGCUGAUUCCGGGUUCUCCUCUCCCUGGCAUUUCCGUUCCCGUUUUUGUUCAUGUUCAGGUAUGUUGAGACUCUGCUGACGGUGUAAUGAUGUGUUCAGUUCGAAGCUAAUAUGAAAUAGUUUAAUAGCGGAGCUGGUGGCAUAGGUGGCAAGUUUGUGGUGGAGUUUUCUCUUAGGUAGUUUGGUAUCCGCAUUAAAUUUCUUGAUCACUUGUGGUUGGAGGUAUUUUUUGUAUUGUUCAUAGUAACAGAUGUUAGCAGGUGUGUGAAUGCUGGCCGGUAGACUGAGCAAUGGCACCUGUUGUGAGUAACAAUACCGCUUUGCGUCUGGUGUUUGUUCAACCCGUUAGCUGUUUUGCUGGUCAUUUGGGCUGGUAGCUAUGAGCUUUUUGUGUGCUAGGCUUCUUAUUACAUUUAUUUUGAUUUGCUUUCAAGUAUAGUUUGUUUUUCUAGAUUUUUCUUUUUUCUGUUGCUUGUUUUUUUUUUUUUUUUUUUUUUUUUUUUUGCAAACAUUGCUCAUUUAUUUUGUUGCUGUCUUUGUGUUAUUCUUUGUUGCUAUUUCUGAUUUGGUUUUGUUCUAUUGCAGCUUUAUUACAGUAUGAAUUUCUUUUCUUUUUUUCAGUGGCGCCCCCAGAAAAUUUUAAUAGGGGUGGCCAGACGAGGCCACAGCAAUU